rnacentral:misc_RNA from 1 species
GAAAUGCGAUAAGUAGUGUGAAUUGCAGAAUUCAGUGAAUCAUCGAAUCUUUGAACGCACAUUGCGCCCCUUGGUAUUCCAUGGGGCAUGCCUGUUCGAGCGUCAUUUGUACCCUCAAGCUCUGCUUGGUGUUGGGUGUUUGUCCCCGUCUCCGCGCGUGGACUCGCCCCAAAGUGAUUGGCAGCCGGCGUACUUGUCCCGGAGCGCAGCACAUGUCGCGCAAACGAGUGCCUUGGUACGGCGGCGUCCAUAAGCCCCUCUCUCACGCUCUUGACCUCGGAUCAGGUAGGGAUACCCGCUGAACUUAAGC